rnacentral:rRNA from 1 species
UGGGGAAUCUUGCACAAUGGGGGCAACCCUGAUGCAGCGACGCCGCGUGAGCGAUGAAGCCCUUCGGGGCGUAAAGCUCUUUCGACCGGAACGAUAAUGACGGUACCGGGAGAAGAAGCUGCGGCUAACUACGUGCCAGCAGCCGCGGUAAUACGUAGGCAGCAAGCGUUGUUCGGAGUUACUGGGCGUAAAGAGUGCGUAGGCGGUUUUCUAAGUUCGGUGUGAAAUCUCCCGGCUUAACUGGGAGGGUGCGCCGAAGACUGGGAAGCUGGAGUGUGGGAAAGGCAGGCGGAAUUCCUGGUGUAGCGGUGAAAUGCGUAGAUAUCAGGAGGAACACCGGCGGUGUAGACGGCUUGCUGGACCAGAACUGACGCUGAGGCACGAAAGCGUGGGUAGCAAACA